rnacentral:rRNA from 1 species
CAGUCGCCGCGGUAAUACGUAGGUGGCAAGCGUUGUCCGGAUUUAUUGGGCGUAAAGCGAGCGCAGGCGGUCAAUUAAGUCUGAUGUGAAAGCCCCCGGUUCAACCGGGGAGGGUCAUUGGAAACUGGUUGACUUGAGUGCAGAAGAGGAGAGUGGAAUUCCAUGUGUAGCGGUGAAAUGCGUAGAUAUAUGGAGGAACACCAGUGGCGAAGGCGACUCUCUGGUCUGUAACUGACGCUGAGGCUCGAAAGCGUGGGUAGCAAACAGGAUUAGAGACCCCCGUAGUCCCUGUCUCUUAUAC